GAUGAAGAACGCAGCGAAAUGCGAUAAGUAAUGCGAAUUGCAGAAUUCCAGUGAGUCAUCGAAUCUUUGAACGCACAUUGCGCCCUUUGGUAUUCCGAAGGGCAUGCCUGUUCGAGCGUCAUUAUCACCCCUCAAGCCCUCGGCUUGGUGUUGGACGGUUUGGUGGAGGCCCCCUCGGGGGCUCCUGCCCCUCCCAAAGACAAUGACGGCGGCCUCGUUGGACCCCCGGUACACUGAGUUCUUCACGGGACACGUAUCGGACACAUGGGUUUACGGGACAAGGUCUGCCUCCCCUCAGGGAGAAUCUUUCUAAGGUUGACCUCGGAUCAGGUAGGGAUACCCGCUGAACUUAAGCAUAUCAAUAAGCGGAGGA
rnacentral:misc_RNA from 1 species